rnacentral:rRNA from 1 species
UACAGAGGUCUCAAGCGUUGUUCGGAAUCACUGGGCGUAAAGGGUGCGUAGGUGGCGUGGAAAGUCAGAUGUGAAAGCCCGGGGCUCAACCUCGGAAUAGCAUCCGAUACUCCCAUGCUAGAGUACUGAAGAGGUGACUAGAAUUCUCGGUGUAGCAGUGAAAUGCGUAGAUAUCGUAAGGAAGACUAGUGGCGAAGGCGGAUCUCUGGACAGUUACUGACACUGAGGCACGAAGGCCAGGGGAGCAAACGGG